rnacentral:rRNA from 1 species
UUCCGGUUGAUCCUGCCGGACCUUACUGCUAUCGGGGUGGGACUAAGACAUGCGAGUCGAGCGUUUCUAGCUAUGUUGAGACGCGGCAUACGGCUCAGUAACACGUGGCUAACCUACCCUCAGGACGGGGACAAACCCGGGAAACUGGGGCUAAUAUCCGAUAGGCGAGGAAUCCUGGAAUGGUUCUUCACCCAAAGGACAUUGGAAACAUGCUUUCUCUGUCGCCUGGGGAUGGGGCCGCGACCGAUCAGGUUGUUGGUGAGGUAAUGGCUCACCAAGCCUUUAACCGGUACGGGCCAUGAGAGUGGUAGCCCGGAGAUGGGUACUGAGACAAGGACCCAGGCCCUACGGGGCGCAGCAGUCGCGAAAACUCCGCAAUGCACGAAAGUGUGACGGGGCUACCCCGAGUGCCGUCCGCUGAGGAUGGCUUUUCCUUGGUGUAACUAGCCGGGGGAAUAAGGAGAGGGCAAGACUGGUGUCAGCCGCCGCGGUAAUACCAGCUCUCCGAGUGGUAGGGAUGAUUAUUGGGCUUAAAGCGUCCGUAGCCGGCUCAGCAAGUUUCCUGUUAAAUUCAGCGACCUAAUCGUUGAGCCGCGGGAAAUACUACUAGGCUAGGAGGCGGGAGAGGUCGACGGUACUUCUGGGGUAGGGGUGAAAUCCUAUAAUCCCGGGAGGACCACCAGUGGCGAAGGCUGUCGACUAGAACGCGCUCGACGGUGAGGGACG